rnacentral:lncRNA from 1 species
AUGUAUCUGCAGAUCACGUCUCCUCAGGUGGACAGAGCUAGAAGAAGUGUGCAACCUCCAAGCUCGAUGUCUGGGGUCAGCUCUGGGGACCCGCCCUUAACCUCCUACUGGAUUUCUGCCCUGCUUCUUGGAUUGCGUGUAGUGCUCACCUGCCCGUGUGAGUGGCUGCAGGAGCUGGGACAGAAGGUGGUCAUAGAGAACUUUUCAAGGAGGUAGGAGAUGAGGCUCCUGAGAGCAACUGUGACUGGGAAGCGUCAGGACACUGGGAAGCAGUGACACAAAAUGGAGCCAUGAGUAGCAGCAGGUAAUGUCAAAAGGCCAAGUUAUCUAAUUUCUCAAGUGGGUGGGGGUGUGCGAGAGCCUUUCAGCAGACCAGACGCUCUGCAGUUCACACAUCUGAGGGUCAGUCAAGGUCAUACUGGCCAACUGGAGGCAAAACAGACAUGGAUCACUAAAUCUCUUUGCUGUUGAGUGACUGGAUCCAUGAAAGUAAUCUAGCCAUGAGUUCUGGAUGUUUUCCACCACUCCUUUCACUCAGAAUUGGGGAGCUAGCUAUGACAUAACUGG